GAUGAAGAACGUAGCGAAAUGCGAUAAGUAAUGUGAAUUGCAGAAUUCAGUGAAUCAUCGAAUCUUUGAACGCACCUUGCGCUCCUUGGUAUUCCGAGGAGCAUGCCUGUUUGAGUGUCAUUAAAUUCUCAACCUCACCCGUUUUCUGAACGGGUCGAGGCUUGGAUGUGGGGGUUUGUGCAGGCUGCCUCACUGGCGGUCUGCUCCCCUGAAAUGCAUUAGCGAGGUUCAUGCUGAACCUCCGUCUAUUGGUGUGAUAAUUAUCUACGCCGUGGACGAGGAUCAGACUCGCUUCUAACUGUCCGCGAGGACAAUACCUUGACAAUUUGACCUCAAAUCAGGUAGGACUACCCGCUGAACUUAAGCAUAUCAAUAAGCGGAGGA
rnacentral:misc_RNA from 1 species